CCUACGGGAGGCAGCAGUGGGGAAUAUUGCGCAAUGGGCGAAAGCCUGACGCAGCGACGCCGCGUGAGGGAUGAAGGUCUUCGGAUCGUAAACCUCUGUCAGCAGGGAAGAACGGUCACUGUGCUAAUCAGCAGUGAAUUGACGGUACCUGCAAAGGAAGCACCGGCUAACUCCGUGCCAGCAGCCGCGGUGAUACGGAGGGUGCGAGCGUUAAUCGGAAUUACUGGGCGUGAAGCGCUCGUAGGCGGUAUGUCAAGUCAAGGGGGAAAUCCCCGCGCUCAACGUGGGAACUGCCUUUGAAACUGGCAAACUGGAGUGUGUGAGAGGAUAGUGGAAUGCCAGGUGUAGGAGUGAAAUCCGUAGAUAUCUGGAGGAACAUCAGUGGCGAAGGCGACUAUCUGGCACAUAACUGACGCUGAGGAGCGAAAGCGUGGGUAGCAAACAGGAUUAGAUACCCUUGUAGUC
rnacentral:rRNA from 1 species